rnacentral:rRNA from 1 species
UACGUAGGGUGCGAGCGUUAAUCGGAAUUACUGGGCGUAAAGCGUGCGCAGGCGGUUUUGUAAGCCAGAUGUGAAAUCCCCGGGCUUAACCUGGGAAUGGCAUUUGGGACUGCAAGGCUGGAGUGCGGCAGAGGAGACUGGAAUUCCUGGUGUAGCAGUGAAAUGCGUAGAUAUCAGGAGGAACACCGAUGGCGAAGGCAGGUCUCUGGGCAAUUCCUGACGCUGAGGCGCGAAAGCGUGGGGAGCAAACGGG